rfam:Schistosoma mansoni strain Puerto Rico chromosome W, complete genome
ACCCAGCUGACGAGUCUCAAAUAGGACGAAACGCGCGUCCUGGAU